rnacentral:lncRNA from 1 species
ACGUUAUUCCUUCUCAGAGAAAUGGAGAAAAAAAUAUGUGUCGGGAUCUGAAUGAGUAUAUUUUAUUUUCAUUUCCCCUGUCGACUGUCGUAAAGUUCCUAGUAAUGCAAUAUAAAAUUCUACUGAAUCAGAUAUAAUUUUAUUUCGUCCUGCACAUGGAAUUUCACUCAUAUGAAUUAAUAUCAAUAUCGUCCGAUUUUCACAUCAAACGAGCA